rnacentral:rRNA from 1 species
AGUCGAGGGGUAUGGGCUUUCGGGCCCGAGACCGGCGCACGGGUGCGUAACGCGUAUGCAAUCUACCUUUUACAGCGGGAUAGCCCAGAGAAAUUUGGAUUAAUACCACAUAGUAUUAUAGGAUGGCAUCAUUUUAUAAUUAAAGUCACAACGGUAAAAGAUGAGCAUGCGUCCCAUUAGCUAGUUGGUAAGGUAACGGCUUACCAAGGCAACGAUGGGUAGGGGUCCUGAGAGGGAGAUCCCCCACACUGGUACUGAGACACGGACCAGACUCCCACGGGAGGCAGCAGUGAGGAAUAUUGUACAAUGGGCGCAAGCCUGAUCCAGCCAUGCCGCGUGCAGGAUGACGGUCCUAUGGAUUGUAAACUGCUUUUAUACAUGAAGAAACCCUUGCUCGUGAGCAAGAUUGACGGUACUGUAAG